AUCUCUUGACUCUCUUCAUUACGCAUAAAUCUUUCGCCUUUUACUAAAGAUUUCCGUGGAGAGGGUCAAUUAAUGAGUCUAAAAUAAUUUUUGAAAUGCCUGACGAAAGUCGGGCAC
rnacentral:snRNA from 1 species